rnacentral:ncRNA from 1 species
CCCGCUGAGUUUAAGCAUAUCACUAAGCGGAGGAAAAGAAACUAAAAAGGAUUUCCCUAGUAGCGGCGAGCGAAACGGAAAGAGCCCAGCUUGGAAAUCGGGGUGUCUCUGCACCCCGAAUUGUAGUCUGGAGAAGGGUCCUCUGCAGCGGACCGGGUUUAAGUCCCUUGGAACGGGACGCCAGAGAGGGUGAGAGCCCCGUCUAGCCCGGACCCUGCUGCAUCACGAGGCUCUUUCGGCGAGUCGGGCUGUUUGGGAAUGCAGCCUUAAGUGGGUGGUAAAUUCCAUCCAAGGCUAAAUACUGGUGAGAGACCGAUAGCGCACAAGUACCGCGAGGGAAAGAUGAAAAGGACUUUGAAAAGAGAGUUAAAAAGUGCUUGAAAUUGCUGGGAGGGAAGCGAAUGGAUGCCUUGUGCGCCCCUUGGUUGUGUGUGGAACGGCGAGAGCUGGUCUGCCAAGCAAUGCAAGGGGCUGUCCAGCAUGGGAGGACGUGGCGGGAUAACGGCUUGUGAGCCUCUGGCUCCCUGCCAAUGCCGCCGCUGCCUCUGAAAAUGGUGGGGUGCUCCGGUGCCCCGCCAGAUGCUGGAACUUGGGCGUUCCAUCCGACCCGUCUUGAAACACGG